AGUGGCGAACGGGUGAGUAACGCGUGAAGACCUGCCUUCAACAGGGGGAUAACACUCCCAACGGGGUGCUAAUACCGCAUGAGUCUGCAUGGACAAAGGUGGCCUCUGCUUGCAAGCCCGGUUGAAGAUGGCUUCGCGUCCCAUUAGCUAGUUGGCGGUGUAAAAGACCACCAAGGCGACGAUGGGUAGCUGGUCUGAGAGGAUGGUCAGCCACACUGGGACUGAGAUACGGCCCAGACUCCUACGGGAGGCAGCAGUCGAGAGGCUUCGGCAAUGGGGGAAACCCUGACCGAGCGACGCCGCGUGGAGGAUGAAGGCCCCUGGGUUGUAAACUCCUUUUGUUGGGGAAGAAAUGCGAUCAGGUGAACAAUCUGGUCGUUUGACGGUACCCGGCGAAUAAGCUCCGGCUAACUCCGUGCCAGCAGCCGCGGUAAUACGGGGGGAGCAAGCGUUGUUCGGAAUCACUGGGCGUAAAGGGCGUGUAGGCGGUUAGGUAAGUGGGAUGUGAAAUCCCUCGGCUCACCCGAGGACCUGCAUCCCAAACUGUCUGACUUGAGUAUGGGAGAGGAUGAGGGAAUUCCUGGUGUAGCGGUGAAAUGCGUAGAUAUCAGAGGAACACCGGUUGCCGAAGCGCUCAUCUGGGCCAAUACUGACGCUGAAGCGCGAAGGCUAAGGGACCAAACGGGAAUAUAUA
rnacentral:rRNA from 1 species